rnacentral:rRNA from 1 species
UACAGAGGGUGCGAGCGUUAAUCGGAAUUACUGGGCGUAAAGCGCACGUAGGUGGCGACGUAAGUCGGGUGUGAAAGCCCCGGGCUCAACCUGGGAAUUGCAUUCGAGACUGCAUUGCUGGAGUACGGAAGAGGAAGGCGGAAUUCCCGGUGUAGCGGUGAAAUGCGUAGAUAUCGGGAGGAACAUCAGUGGCGAAGGCGGCCUUCUGGUCCAGUACUGACGCUGAGGUGCGAAAGCUAGGGGAGCAAACGGG